CUGGCCUGGAAGGGAGCAGCGAUAAAUAGCGCCGCUGCCGUAGCUAGCC
rnacentral:SRP_RNA from 1 species